rnacentral:rRNA from 1 species
UGAGGAAUAUUGGUCAAUGGGCGAGAGCCUGAACCAGCCAAGUAGCGUGCAGGAUGACGGCCCUAUGGGUUGUAAACUGCUUUUAUGUGGGGAUAAAGUGCGUGACGUGUCAUGCAUUGCAGGUACCACAUGAAUAAGGACCGGCUAAUUCCGUGCCAGCAGCCGCGGUAAUACGGAAGGUCCGGGCGUUAUCCGGAUUUAUUGGGUUUAAAGGGAGCGUAGGCUGUCUAUUAAGCGUGUUGUGAAAUAUACCGGCUCAACCGGUGGCUUGCAGCGCGAACUGGUCGACUUGAGUAUGCAGGAAGUAGGCGGAAUUCAUGGUGUAGCGGUGAAAUGCUUAGAUAUCAUGAAGAACGCCGAUUGCGAAGGCAGCUUACGGGAGUGUUACUGACGCUUAAGCUCGAAGGUGCGGGUAUCGAACAGG